GUCUGCAACGCAGCGUGCCCAUGACCUCUCAGACCUUUUUAGGAUUCUUGUUUGGACAUUCUCCUUGUUGUGGACUACCGUCGUCGUAAGAUAAAACUGUAACUUGAAGGACUUGGAGCUUGGGCUGGCCACUCGCUGGGAGUAAGGAUUGGGUUAUCCCUGUGCGUUCUUCAGCGGAUGAUGCUACCAAACAACAAAGGGGGACUACAGACAACACAACCUUCACAUGGGCCAUAGUAAUAUCAGAUGUGAAACAGGCAAAAAGACAUCACGUGAAUCUGACUCUGGAUAUGAAGACCGUGCCUCCUUUUCUCAAAACACUAGAUAAGAAAACAGCCAUCCUCUGUCCUGAUCCACUGAAGGCUUCCGGCACAGAGAUGAGAUUUCCUCAUGCUUUAUGUGACAUCUCUUUCAGCUCAGGGAAGCACUACUGGGAGGUGGAAGUGGGUAAUAUUUUCGGCCGUGAUAAAAGCAGGCAGUUGUGGUAUGUGGGGGUGUGCAGCAGUGACCCAGCAGAACAAACACACAGAGUCUCUAUGACCCCACGGAACGGCUUCUGGGUUCUGCAGUAUGAGAAAGGAACUGGACUCUUUGCCAACACAGAACCUCCAACUCCAGUACCUGUGUCUGAACUAUUUCGGGUCCUAGGGGUGUUUUUAGACUGUGAUGAACACACUCGCACACCUUUGUGCCAUGCGCGAGCCACAUAACGAAAUCUUAGGUCAGUCUGACAAACGGUCAGGCUUCUUGCUUUAUAGA